rnacentral:rRNA from 1 species
UACGUAGGUGACAAGCGUUGUCCGGAUUUACUGGGCGUAAAGAGCGCGCAGGCGGUCGAUCAAGUCGAGUGUGAAAGCCCCCGGCUCAACUGGGGAGGGUCAUUCGAUACUGAUCGACUCGAAGGCAGGAGAGGGUAGUGGAAUUCCCGGUGUAGUGGUGAAAUGCGUAGAUAUCCGGAGGAACACCAGAGGCGAAGGCGGCCUGCUGGGCUGCACCUGACGCUGAACCGCGAAAGCCAGGGGAGCGAACGGG